UACGAAGGGGGCUAGCGUUGCUCGGAAUCACUGGGCGUAAAGCGCACGUAGGCGGACUCUUAAGUCGGUGGUGAAAUCCUGGAGCUCAACUCCAGAACUGCCUUCGAUACUGGGAGUCUUGAGUUCGGGAGAGGUGAGUGGAACUGCGAGUGUAGAGGUGAAAUUCGUAGAUAUUCGCAAGAACACCAGUGGCGAAGGCGGCUCACUGGCCCGGUACUGACGCUGAGGCACGAAAGCGUGGGGAGCAAACAGG
rnacentral:rRNA from 1 species